rnacentral:rRNA from 1 species
CCCCUAGAUGUUCUGGGCCGCACGCGCGCUACACUGAACAGUUCAACAAGUCUUAACCUUGGCCGAUAGGUCUGGGUAAUCUUUGAACGCUGUUCGUGAUUGGGAUAGACCUUUGCAAUUAUGGGUCUUCAACGAGGAAUUCCUAGUAAACGCAAGUCAUCAGCUUGCAUUGAUUACGUCCCUGCCCUUUGUACACACCGCCCGUCGCACCUCCCGAUUGAAUGGUCCGGUGAAAUCUCGGGACGGCGGCUUGGUCGCUUGCGUCCGACUGCUGAAACUUGAUUAAACCAUAUCAUUUAGAGGAAGGUGAAGUCGUAACA